UGGACAAAGAAUGUGGAGUAUACCUUUACAGGAAUUUAUACUUUUGAAUCACUUAUUAAAAUACUUGCAAGGGGCUUUUGUUUAGAAGAUUUCACAUUUUUACGGGAUCCAUGGAAUUGGUUGGAUUUCACAGUCAUUACUUUUGCAUAUGUGACAGAGUUUGUGGACCUGGGCAAUGUCUCAGCGUUGAGAACAUUCAGAGUUCUCCGAGCAUUGAAAACAAUUUCAGUCAUUCCAGGCCUGAAGACCAUUGUGGGGGCCCUGAUCCAGUCAGUGAAGAAGCUUUCUGAUGUCAUGAUCUUGACUGUGUUCUGUCUAAGCGUGUUUGCGCUAAUAGGAUUGCAGUUGUUCAUGGGCAACCUACGAAAUAAAUGUUUGCAAUGGCCUCCAGAUAAUUCUUCCUUUGAAAUAAAUAUCACUUCCUUCUUUAACAAUUCAUUGGAUGGGAAUGGUACUACUUUCAAUAGGACAGUGAGCAUAUUUAACUGGGAUGAAUAUAUUGAGGAUAAAAGUAAGAUAUACUCUAUAAACCAUUAAGUUGUUUAGUUCUCUAAAUAUUAAAUAUUAUAUAUAAUGGAAAUUAUCUCAAUUUAGAUGUGAAUCAAGUGACUUAGACUAAUUUAAGAUGAUUUAAUACAUAUAAAAGAGAUAUCAAAUGAUA
rnacentral:lncRNA from 1 species